AUGCGCGGCCAGGGUGUGCGUCGCGCGGGGCACAGUGGUGUGGUGGCUAUGGCGAGCGUGAUGGCAACGACGGGCGCGACGGACGCGGUGUGGCACGUGCGUGGGCAUGGAGAGCCAGAGAGGGAGUGGCCCCGCGGGCGCGGAAGAAGAGCUGAAGGCUCAGGUAUGGGCGCGCAUAGGAGCGGGCAUGUACCACGGGGUCAAUCCGAGGAGCUCAGUGGCUACCCCUACAAUGGCCAUGGCGGACGACGGUUCUCGGCCAUGGCGAAAUACCUAACGAGAGCGAACGACAGGGGAAACUUGGAAAGGCAAGAGGAGAUCAUGGCGGUGUCAAUGGCACCGUAG
rnacentral:rRNA from 1 species